rnacentral:lncRNA from 1 species
GAACAGAGCGCUGCUGCUUGGAGAAGCCCCGUCAGCCUGUGCCUGCGUCUUUCUGCUCCUCUGCCUGAGGUCCCUCUCCUGUGUCAGAAGAGCCUACCAGCGUGGAGGUUUAUUGAUUCUGUGUACCUGCCUCCCUCCAGCAGCCUUCUUUCAAUAAAGGAUGGGAGUUGCAGCCCCAUGCAACUGAAUUCAAACGGUAACAUGGAACACUGUUGAGAGAAACACCUCUGUAUAAGGUCAGUACCUU